rnacentral:rRNA from 1 species
CGUAGGGCGCAAGCGUUGUCCGGAAUUAUUGGGCGUAAAGAGCUCGUAGGCGGUUUGUUGCGUCUGUCGUGAAAGCCCACAGCUUAACUGUGGGUCUGCGGUGGAUACGGGCAGACUAGAGGCAGGUAGGGGAGAAUGGAAUUCCCGGUGUAGCGGUGAAAUGCGCAGAUAUCGGGAGGAACACCGGUGGCGAAGGCGGUUCUCUGGGCCUGUACUGACGCUGAGGAGCGAAAGCGUGGGGAGCGAACAGGAUUAGAUACCCUGGUAGUCCACGCCGUAAACGUUGGGCGCUAGGUGUGGGGUUCUUCCACGGAUUCCGCGCCGUAGCUAACGCAUUAAGCGCCCCGCCUGGGGAGUACGGCCGCAAGGCUA